CCAGCAUGCUACCAUUUGCGGUUGUGGAUUUUUUGCAUGGUGGAGGUGUGGCAAUAUUACCCUGCAAGUGGUUUACUGGACCAGAGGAAGAUACAUGUUACUGGCCACCAGGACGACUCAACAUAAGCAAGGCAGUAAAAGAUGAAAUUCUUCCGAACCCUACUUGGCCCCAGUUCAAAGUGCGUGUCCUGGGAAAAGCAGGUAAUGUGACUUUUUUUUUAAUGGUGACUGGUAAUAAUAAUAUGCAUGUAUCUAAUAACACAAGUACGGUGUGCUUCUGAAAUAGUAGUUACUAAAACUUAUUGGUAAAUGUCUAUCACCUACAGGAACCUAUGCCCACGCCACAGAAAAGCUUUUAAAGGCCGAAGCGACCUCAGACUUACAGAAGGAGUCAGAUUCUGGAAGGCGGAUGGGAAAAGGGAAUCGCAAAAGAAAGCCAGUGUGUCUGUCAAGCUCUGAUGAGGAACUCGGUGGUGCCGGGCAUGAUCAUCCAUCCAGUGUGCCUUCACCUCAACCAAUUCCAGAGAACCUCCAACCGCAGGCUCCCCACUCACUCAAGACCCGUCCAUUUAUUCAACCACCUUCAAUUCCUUUAAUGACCGUUGCUUCAGAACACCCCAGCAGAGUUCUGCAAGGUGCCAGUUCUGCAUUUAGAGAUGCCAUGUUUGCACGUCUCCUAACCGUCCUGGAGGAAAUAUAGGAGACGCAAAGGGUCCAUGGGAGGAUGAUACAGUCACUCCUCACACAACGGGAUGCAAGUGCAGUUACAGCACUUCCAGAAGAUGUUGUUUUCCCACUGAGGACGGUCUCGGAUGUUGCUGCAAUGGAGCAAAAAUUGGCAGACCCCACCUUCCACAAACAAGUGGUUGGCGUGGUGGCAGAAAUUGGAGGGAGAUCAUUGGAUGAAGCCACCAGAAGAAUGAUGGCCUUCCUUUUUGACCACACCCUAUCUAGAGAGUAUAUUUUGUUGGCCGCCAUGGAAAGCGAGAGUUUCGGGGGCUCAAACUGUUUGAGGUUGUAUAUGGAAAGAAAUGCCCUUACAAACCAUAUUACAAGAAGAGAUGCUGAAAAGGCGGUGUCUAAGUGGCUAAUUGGUGCCAGGGACAGGGGAGGAAACCGCACAGCGAGGGCACGUGGUGGAGAGCAAGAUGGGGCCGCUGGGAGAGCGACAACAGAAGACUGAGAUUCUGUACUUUUGUUUUUGUUUGUGAAUUAUAGUUUUCUGACAGGACUGAAAAACUGCACUUUUGUUUUGUUUCUGAAAUAUAAAGUUUGUCAAAAGCUUUCACUUUUGAUAGUUUUCUGUUAAUACACAUUUGUUAAUAAAUAUUCUGUUAAUAAAGUUAAGCUUGAAGUAAUGUUUUCUGUUCAUUGCUUACAUAUGUUUGUAUUUAGGGGUUUACUGUAAAAUAAGGUAACCCAAAAAGACAAAUAUGGUAGCCCAUAUAUACACCUGUUGUGGCCCAUAAGAGCCCUAGAUAAGACCUAUCUGGG
rnacentral:lncRNA from 1 species